rnacentral:pre_miRNA from 1 species
UAUGUACUCCCUUCGUUCCGAAUUACUUGUCGCAGGUAUGGAUGUAUUUAGAUGUAUUUUAGUUCUAAAUACAUCCAUUUCUGCGAUGAGUAAUUUAGAACGGAGGGAGUACAAG